AACGAACGCUGGCGGCGCGUUUUAAACAUGCAAGUCGAACGAGAACCUCAGUGCUUGCAUUGAGGGGACAGUGGCGAACGGGUGAGUAACACGUGGAUAAUCUACCUCUAGGAUGGGGACAACCACUGGAAACGGUGGCUAAUACCAAAUGAUAUGAUUAUUACAUAAGUAGUGAUCAUCAAAGGUGGGGACCUUCGGGCCUAUCGCCUGGAGAUGAGUCCGCGGCCCAUUAGCUUGUUGGUGAGGUAAUGGCUUACCAAGGCGACGAUGGGUAGCCGGCCUGAGAGGGUGAACGGCCACAUUGGGACUGAGACACGGCCCAGACUCCUACGGGAGGCAG
rnacentral:rRNA from 1 species